rnacentral:lncRNA from 1 species
GUAUUAGAGUGUAUAUAGCUGGUUUAGUUAUGGUUUAAUCUCUUGUAUAGUUUGGUUAGCAUAGUGGUUUAGUUUUACUUGUAUUUAACUAUACUUUGUAUCUCAUUUUACACUUGAAUGAAGAAAUUAUCUUUUUCCAGAUUCUUGUUUCAUCUCUCUCAAUCAUGUUCAUGGGAAAAGUUGAAAUGGUAUCAGAGCUUAAUCUAAAUUCUUCAUUCCACUUCCGCUGAUCUUCAUCAAUUCAUCAAAGGAUCGAUCAUGUUCUUCGGAUUUUAAUUCAGAUUUGCGAUUCAUCAAUUUUUUUUCUUUUUUUUUUCUCUCUUCGAUCGAUUCGUUUCAUCAAAAGCGAUUGAUCUUUGUUCUUCCUUUUCCUCGAUUGAUCGAUUUCAAUGGCCGAUUCAUCUAUUUUCUUUCGGUGCUGUUGAUUAUCAACUGAUCUCGAGCUUGAAGAACUUUACUCACCGAUCGAUUCAUCAAUUUCGAUUUGGUUCAUCUGUUUCACUAUUGAUUCAGAUUUCUAUAUUUUUCUUCAUCGAGCCCUGAUCUCCUCGAAGUCAGCUCCAAUUUCUUUGAAUCGAGCUUUCACCUCUUCAUUUGUUAGUUUGAUUCCUCAUAUUUGAGUUCUUAUCCUCGAUUUUGAGAUCAGAUUUCCUCGAUUGUCUGAUUUGUUUGUUUGUUUGAAGCGAUUAAUCAUCUCAAAUCGUCUUGUAUUUUCAGAAUUUUCUUCUGGUUAUUCCGCCAGAUUUAUGCUCCAUUUUUUUGUCUGGAUUUGUGCUCGAUUUGCCAAUCUCCAGCUUCUUCUCCGAUUAAAAUCGGAUUUUAUUCUUUCAAUGAUCGAUUAUUCCGUCGAUUCCUUGGUUAAUCCACCGAUUUGUUGGAUUUAUACGGUUGUUUACAGUUGUUGAUGCUCCAGAUCACUUUUGAUUCCGCCGCAAGAAGCUUGUUGAUGCGAUUUCAAUUGAUCCACAUAUUGCUUUAGUUUAUCACGGUGUGGUGAUAUCGUUGCACUUGUUCAGUGAUUACUUUUGUGAUGGAACCAUUUCCUGGUUUUGUUGAGUCUAUGGCUCCACCAUGAGAGAUUUUUGUCGAUGACAAUUUAUUUGGAGAACAUCCAUGGUUGAAAUUGUUGAUUGAGCCGGUGUUGUCGUUCGGAUCUCUUCCGCGACCACCAGAUUUGCAAUCUAAUGAGGUUAGUUCAUGUUUUCUGACUUUGCUCUAUGAGGUAUUUCACAAGUAGAUAUGCUCAUCGAGAGGGGGAGCUAUAGUUAGACAGUUUUAAGGAGAUUCUUUCAUAUGGAACUGAUAAAGGCUGUUUAGACUUCUUUGAAGCUAAGGUUAUGAGGUUGUGCAACUUUGAAAGUUUGCGAGUAAUAGCUGCUGUUAUUGAUGGCUUUCAUGCCACUACAAGUGCUACUAUGUGUUGGUGUCGGAUCCCGCACCAGAGGUUCGGGACCAACUAAAGAUUGCCACGUAGUUGGGUUAACAGCCCAUAAGGGAUAA